AUUGAACGCUGGCGGCAGGCUUAACACAUGCAAGUCGAGCGGGGUGAUGGUGCUUGCACUAUCACUUAGCGGCGGACGGGUGAGUAAUGCUUAGGAAUCUGCCUAUUAGUGGGGGACAACAUCUCGAAAGGAACGCUAAUACCGCAUACGUCCUACGGGAGAAAGCAGGGGAUCACUUGUGACCUUGCGCUAAUAGAUGAGCCUAAGUCGGAUUAGCUAGUUGGUGGGGUAAAGGCCUACCAAGGCGACGAUCUGUAGCGGGUCUGAGAGGAUGAUCCGCCACACUGGGACUGAGACACGGCCCAGACUCCUACGGGAGGCAGCAGUGGGGAAUAUUGGACAAUGGGGGGAACCCUGAUCCAGCCAUGCCGCGUGUGUGAAGAAGGCCUUAUGGUUGUAAAGCACUUUAAGCGAGGAGGAGGCUCUUUUGGUUAAUACCCAAGAUGAGUGGACGUUACUCGCAGAAUAAGCACCGGCUAACUCUGUGCCAGCAGCCGCAGUAA
rnacentral:rRNA from 1 species